UGGGAAUAUUGGACAAUGGGCGAAAGCCUGAUCCAGCCAUGCCGCGUGUGUGAAGAAGGUCUUCGGAUUGUAAAGCACUUGAAGUUGGGAGGAAGGGCAGUUACCUAAUACGUGAUUGUUUUGACGUUACCGACAGAGUAAGCACCGGCUAACUCUGUGCCAGCAGCCGCGGUAAUACAGAGGGUGCAAGCGUUAAUCGGAAUUACUGGGCGUAAAGCGUGCGUAGGUGGUUAGUUAAGUUGAAUGUGAAAUCCCCGGGCUCAACCUGGGAACUGCAUCCAAAACUGGCAAGCUAGAAUAUGGUGGGGGGUAGUGGAAUUUCCUGUGUAGCGGUGAAAUGCGUAGAUAUAGGAAGGAACACCAGUGACGAAGGCGACUACCUGGACUGAUACUGACACUGAGGUGCAAAAGCGUGGGGAGCAAACA
rnacentral:rRNA from 1 species